rnacentral:lncRNA from 1 species
CUGGUGGGAGGGGAGGGGGAGAGGAGGGGAUACAGAGGUGCAUGUGGGGGAAGGGAGUGUGCGUGUUAGGGGAAGAGACAGGGUUUGUUUGCCUGUUCUUCUUUCGUAUGUGUAUGUGUUUCCCCCCUCUCUCCAAGUGAGGACUAAUGCCAUCCCUGGGCCUGCUCUCUUUCCCUCCCUGCAUUAGAGGUUGCCUAUAGGAGGAAGCCGAUGGCUGCAGCAUCCAGCGCAUUAUUACCUUGCGAUGCCGUGACCCUCCUCCAUGCAUCCCUAACUCUUUAAAGCUGAUUCAGCUAGCGCUCUGGAGGCUCCCCUGCUGCAACAGAAUCUCCUCACUGUUUGUCAGGUAAACCACAACCGGCCUCAGCUGCUACAGAGUUCAACUGGGUGGCUUUUUCUUAACACUGAAAGAAAUAAAGAAAGUGAAGACAUUCUCUUUCUGGGGCUCUUUGGGAGGCAGAAGAAAUCCUGGACUUACUAGGUAAGAGCUUCUGUUUACAAUAUUUAGCUGUCUUUUUAAUACCCUCUCUCUCCUUAGUCCCAGUCAAUUGCUGAAAGAAUCCUUUGUCUUUAACAGAAGAAUUUCUAACCUCAGUAUGAGAAGGAGGCAGCUUGGUGUUGCUGUCUAAGUUGUAAACUGUACAUUUGAAUUCUGGAUGGGCAAGUGCUAAGCUUUGCAGGACAGGGGAAAGGACUAGUUUUUGUUUACUCUUCCCUUUUUACUAAAGUCUUCAUCUGAGAAAUAGAAAGAAUUGUGAUUUUCCAGAGUUUCUGGAUCUUUUCUUUCAAAUCUUUAUUUCUUAGUCCUUCUAAUUAUUAAUGUGG